AACGAACGCUGGCGGCAGGCUUAACACAUGCAAGUCGAGCGCCCCGCAAGGGGAGCGGCAGACGGGUGAGUAACGCGUGGGAACGUACCCUUUGCUACGGAAUAGCUCCGGGAAACUGGAAUUAAUACCGUAUGUGCCCUACGGGGGAAAGAUUUAUCGGCAAAGGAUCGGCCCGCGUUGGAUUAGCUAGUUGGUGGGGUAAUGGCCUACCAAGGCGACGAUCCAUAGCUGGUCUGAGAGGAUGAUCAGCCACAUUGGGACUGAGACACGGCCCAAACUCCUACGGGGGGCAGCAGUGGGGAAGAUUGGACGAUGGGCGCAAGCCUGAUCCAGCCAUGCCGCGUGAGUGAUGAAGGCCUUAGGGUUGUAAAGCUCUUUCACCGGAGAAGAUAAUGACGGUAUCCGGAGAAGAAGCCCCGGCUAACUUCGUGCCAGCCGCCGCGGUAAGAC
rnacentral:rRNA from 1 species